GAGUUUGGCUGCAAGACGGACGCAGACACAGUACCUCUCUUUCUCUGGAAGCAAAAAACAAACUAAACUAACCAAGCAUUCAUCUUCUUGGCUCGCUCGCUGAUACAAAAAUCAAACCAAAUACCCGAACUACCCUCACUCUCCGAUCAUAUUUACCUAUUCAAUGGCUUAAUUAAGCUUUAAUUAUGGACUCAACCAUCCAAAUUCUGCCUCCGUCCUCAAGUCUCUCUUCAUCAGUUGUCUCAUUUCUCAAUGACAGACUCCACACUCAACGAGAUCUCACGACGGUGCCCCGCCUUGUUUCCGAGCUACAAUCACAGUGUUUGAAUUUGGACCAAACCCUACUCAGCCUCAACUCCAGGCUUGAAUCAAGUCUUCUCGCUUACUCUUCCUUCUCCGAUCGAAUUCAUGGCGUAUUUACCGAUGCCAGUUCCAAGUUGACCGAACUCGCCUCGUUGACGCGCGAUUCUACUUCUCUAUCAGAUGGUGUAGAAGGAGAAGGGAAGAAAGGGAAGAUAUUGGGCGAGGAACUGCCAGCACUAGCUAAGGAGGUAGCGAGAGUGGAAACUGUCCGAACAUAUGCUGAUUGUGGUUGCUGCCAUUUGAUUGGUGUCUCUGCCUUCUUUCUAAUGUCUCAGCUGCUUUCUGCUUUUAGUAUUCCAAAGACAGCAUUGAAGCUUGACAAUUUAGUUGGUGACAUUGAAGAUGCUGUAUCUUCUGCUAUGAGCAAAAAGCUAAGGAAGCCUUCCUCUACACAGAAUUCAGAAGAAAUGCGUCUGCUUGCUAUUGAAACACUUCGGAAAACAGAAAGCUUUUUAACUUCAAUCACAAAGGCACACCCUCAGUGGACACAUCUUGUAUUGGCAGUUGAUCACAGAGUAGAUAGAGCUUUGGCCAUUUUAAGACCCCAGGCAAUUGCAGAUCAUAGGGCCCUUCUUACUUCUCUUGGAUGGCCACCGCCACUUUCCACCUUGACUUCCUCAAAUCUUGAUACUGGGAAAUCGACUGAAGUUCCAAGUCCUCUUUUCACUAUGCAAGGGGACCUCAAAAAUCAGUAUUGUGAAAACUUUCUUGCCUUGUGCCAUUUGCAAGAAUUGCAGAGGCGAAGAAAAUCUCGGCAACUAGAGGGUCAUAAUACAGAAGUUGCUCUUCACCAGCCACUUUGGGCAAUCGAAGAACUUGUGAACCCUAUAUCAGUUGCAUGCCAACGUCAUUUUUCAAAGUGGAUUAAUAAGUUGGAAUUCAUUUUUGCUCUUGUAUAUAAGAUUACGAGCGAUUAUGUUGACACCAUGGAUGAAUUAUUGCAACCAUUAGUUGAUGAAGCAAGGUUAGUAGGGUACAGUUGCAGAGAGGAAUGGAUUUCAGCAAUGGUAACAUCUUUAUCAACAUACUUAGCAAAAGAGGUAUUCACUAUUUAUGUUGGUCAACUGGAUGAAGAGAGUGUUGCUGGUGUUCAAUCACAGGGAAUAUCAUGGCUCCAUCUUAUUGACUUGAUGAUUGCUUUUGAUAAACGAAUUCAGUCUCUGAUGUCACAUUCUGGAAUCAUGGCUUCCCUUCAGGAAGAUGAAAACUUGCAGAAGAUUUCUUCACUAUCCAUUUUCUGUGACCGACCUGACUGGCUUGAUCUAUGGGCAGAAAUAGAGCUCAGUGACAUAGUUGAGAAGCUAAAACCUGAGGUAGAUGAUGAUAGAAAUUGGACAAUGAAAAUUGAAGGAACUGCUCUUUUAUCUGGUCCUGAAAACUAUAAAUCUCCAGUGGUUUCUGUUGCCUUCCUUCGGCGUAUAUCAUUGCUGGUUGAUCGAUGUCGAUCACUGCCUACCAUCUCUCUGAGGUCUAGGUUUCUCAGAUUGGCUGGCGCCCCCGUUAUACGGAGAUUUUUGGAUUUUGCUCUUCUGAGGUGCCAAGAGGCUGAAGGUUUGACUGCACUAACAGAUGAUGAUGCUCUAAUCAAAGUUGCGAAUUCCAUAAAUGCUGCUCGCUACUUUGAGUCUGUUUUAAAGGAAUGGUGUGAGGACAUUUUCUUCCUUGAAAUGGGAUUUGAUCAUGGUGAUCAACUGGGAAUAUCAAUUACUAACAAUGAAGCCAGGGAGGAGCCUGUUAGUGGCAUUUUUGACGAGGAGAUAAGAAAAUUGGAGGAAUUUAGAAAAGAGUGGGUUGAGAAGAUAUCAGUUGUUAUUUUGAGGGGAUUUGAUGCUAGGUGCCGGGAUUAUGUGAAAAACAGGAGGCAGUGGCAAGAGAAGGGUGAAGAAGGUUGGACGGUGUCCAAAAAUUUAGUUGGGGCUUUAGAUCAUUUACAAGGAAAGAUGGCAAUAAUGGAAGAAAAUUUGAAUGCCAUGGAUUUUGUUGGUGUAUGGAGAAGUUUGGCUGCUGGAGUUGAUCGAUUGCUUUUCAAUGGUGUUCUUAUGAGCAAUGUGAAGUUUCAUGAUUGUGGCAUUGAAAGGUUUAAUAAUGACAUGGAGGUUUUGUUUGGGGUAUUUGGAGCUUGGUGCUUGAGACCAGAAGGCUUUUUCCCCAAAGUAAGUGAUGGCAUGAAGUUGCUAAAGAUGGGGGAAGAGCAGCUUCGUGAUAAUUUGGCAGGAGGAGAGAAAUGGUUGAAGGAGAAUGGAAUAAGAAAUUUGGGUGCAGCUGAGGCUGAAAAGAUAAUAAACAGUAGAGUAUUCAUGAGUUAAGGGGCUUUCCAAAUUAAAACCCUGUUUCUUAGCCUUGUCUACCCGGAGGAUUAGCAAACUUGGAAGUAAAACAGGGAGGUCAUCCUUCAUUUGCAGUAUGUUCAAAAUCUUUUCACCUUCCUGAACUGGAAAUGCAAAUCACAGCAUCAAAAGCUACGGGAAAACAAGAAAUGGUAAAUAUUUCAGUUUUCGUUGUUUUGAAUGUGCAAAUCACAGCCCUAAUUAUUUAGCUGUGACAGUGAAAGUUUAAAUUGUCAGUGUACUGCAUGCACAUGCUUAUGUGAAUGAUUUAACGGUUGCUGUAUUCAGAAAUUUGCAUGUGCAUAGUAUGUCGAAGUGUCGCUAUAAGAAAUAAUGUACAAUUUUUUUUUUUGUCAAACAUUUCUGCCCACUCGGCGUUA